rnacentral:ncRNA from 1 species
CAAGUCCAUCACGAUGAAGAAGUAGCGAACCGCAUCGGCCCCGAGUCAUGCGCGGCUGCCCGUGAGGGCAUCAGCGAAGCGUUGACAGGGGAAUGCACAGGCCAGCCAUUGAGCCGCGAAAGUACCCUCUUCCCGGGUGCCGACGUCGUUCCGGUGACGGAAGGCAAUACGGAUGGGCGCGAUAUCGCGAGUGCCCAGACGGCCCGGCGUGGUCUUAGACAC